rnacentral:rRNA from 1 species
UGUAAACGAUGUCGAUUUGGAGGUUGUUCCCUGAGAGUGGCUUCCGGAGCUAACGCGUUAAAUCGACCGCUGGGGAGUACGGCCGCAAGGUUAAAACUCAAAUGAAUUGACGGGGGCCCGCACAAGCGGUGGAGCAUGUGGUUUAAUUCGAUGCAACGCGAGGAACCUUACCUACUCUUGACAUCCAGGGAAUUUAGCAGAGAUGCUUUAGUGCCUUCGGGAACUCUGAGACAGGUGCUGCAUGGCUGUCGUCAGCUCGUGUUGUGAAAUGUUGGGUUAAGUCCCGCAACGAGCGCAACCCUUAUCCUUUGUUGCCAGCACAUUAUGGUGGGAACUCAAAGGAGACUGCCGGUGAUAAACCGGAGGAAGGUGGGGAUGACGUCAAGUCAUCAUGGCCCUUACGAGUAGGGCUACACACGUGCUACAAUGGCGUAUACAAAGAGAAGCGACCUCGCGAGAGCAAGCGGAACUCAUAAAGUACGUCGUAGUCCGGAUUGGAGUCUGCAACUCGACUCCAUGAAGUCGGAAUCGCUAGUAAUCGUAGAUCAGAAUGCUACGGUGAAUACGUUCCCGGGCCUUGUACACACCGCCCGUCACACCAUGGGAGUGGGUUGCAAAAGAAGUAGGUAGCUUAACCUUCGGGAGGGCGCUUACCACUUUGUGAUUCAUGACUGGGGUGAAGUCGUAACAAGGUAACCA